rnacentral:rRNA from 1 species
AUUGAACGCUGGCGGCAUGCCUUACACAUGCAAGUCGAACGGCAGCACGGGAGCAAUCCUGGUGGCGAGUGGCGAACGGGUGAGUAAAGUAUCGGAACGUGCCCAGUCGUGGGGGAUAACGUAGCGAAAGUUACGCUAAUACCGCAUACGAUCUAUGGAUGAAAGCGGGGGAUCGCAAGACCUCGCGCGAUUGGAGCGGCCGAUAUCAGAUUAGGUAGUUGGUGGGGUAAAGGCUCACCAAGCCGACGAUCUGUAGCUGGUCUGAGAGGACGACCAGCCACACUGGGACUGAGACACGGCCCAGACUCCUACGGGAGGCAGCAGUGGGGAAUUUUGGACAAUGGGCGAAAGCCUGAUCCAGCCAUGCCGCGUGCAGGAUGAAGGCCUUCGGGUUGUAAACUGCUUUUGUACGGAACGAAAAGGUUUGGCCUAAUAAGCUGAGCUCAUGACGGUACCGUAAGAAUAAGCACCGGCUAACUACGUGCCAGCAGCCGCCGUAA